UGCCGGUUAACAUUUCCUAUAUAAGCUUUUGCUAGCUCAUUAGUGGCAUAAAAAACAGAAAUCUGUGGUUGAUCUGUUCUAUAAGAUGAUGUUUCGUUUGGCCGUAACUUUGGUGGUAGUUCUUGCCUUGGCGACAUUUACAUGUUCAAUAUCAGUAGAAGGUGACAGUAUGAAACGUGCAGAUACUCCGUGCAUGAGGGGAAGUAACUGUUCUAAUUGUGGAAUAUUAGAUUACUGUUGCCCCGGCAAUUGUUAUCAGUUUAAAACAAUAACACCUACCGAAUGUACAUGUCCAUAAGUCUUACAAGAAACUGAAAGCGAAAACCUCAUUAAACAUUUCUUUUAUAUUCCUUUAUAUUGCUCCAUUUUCUGCAAAUAAACGUUAUCUCAA